rnacentral:snRNA from 1 species
GUGCUCUCUCUGGCAGCAUGUAGGUUAAAAAUUGGAAUAACACAGAGAUUAGCACACCCUUGCAGAGGAUGACAUGCAAAUUCAUGAAACAUUCCAUAUUUAA